GAAUUCGCCCUUGGGGAAUUUUCCGCAAUGUGCGAAAGCCUGACGGAGCAAUACCGCGUGAGGGAGGAAGGCUCUUGGGUUGUAAACCUCUUUUCUCAGGGAAGAACAGAAUGACGGUACCUGAGGAAUAAGCAUCGGCUAACUCCGUGCCAGCAGCCGCGGUAAUACGGAGGAUGCAAGCGUUAUCCGGAAUGAUUGGGCGUAAAGGGUCCGCAGGUGGCAUUGUAAGUCUGCUGUUAAAGAGUUUGGCUCAACCAAAUAAGAGCAGUGGAAACUACAAAGCUAGAGUGUGGUCGGGGCAGAGGGAAUUCCUGGUGUAGCGGUGAAAUGCGUAGAUAUCAGGAAGAACACCAGUGGCGAAGGCGCUCUGCUAGGCCGAGACUGACACUGAGGGACGAAAGCUAGGGGAGCGAAUGGGAUUAGAUACCCCAGUAGUCCUAGCCGUAAACGAUGGAUACUAGGCGUAGCUCGUAUCGACCCGAGCUGUGCCGGAGCUAACGCGUUAAGUAUCCCGCCUGGGGAGUACGCAGGCAACUGUGAAACUCAAAGGAAUUGACGGGGGCCCGCACAAGCGGUGGAGUAUGUGGUUUAAUUCGAUGCAACGCGAAGAACCUUACCAAGGCUUGACAUGUCACGAAUCCUAUUGAAAGAUGGGAGUGCCUUCGGGAGCGUGAA
rnacentral:rRNA from 1 species